CUACUGAAUACAAGGUAUCAAAGAAGCUCCCUGCUAUAAUCCACUGAUUGCGGAAGGACCACUGGUCCUCAACAAAAGUAGAUGUGAUGUGCUAUGGCAAUUGGCCUGGAUUGCCUGUUAUAAUGAGAGGCUGAUGUAUUUCAAAGUGAAUGACACACAGUGAUAGUUUGCAAAAGGAACUCAGAGAUUAUUAUGAAAAUGUUUUCUAUUGCCUUUCUCUGAAAGAGGCUUGUUGUUUGGCUGCUUCUGGAUGCAACAAAAUAACAAGAAAAAACCUCUCUCUCUAGACCUUUCACUUGUGCCCUAUUGCAAUUAUUACAUUUCUGAGUACAUUGUGUCCUUCCAACUCAUUUUUUUUUUCUUGCAGAGGAAAUUGCAGACUACCAAUGGCUGCUGCUUUCAGCAUCUCCCAUCCAACUGAUGGCUCACCUUCACUUGCCACCAGAUGCUGUCCUGGGGUUGUGGUUCUGGCCCACUAAGUGGCCCCCUGUGUGACGCCAGGUGCUUGCUGCCUACAGAUCACCAUUCCUGGCUCUCUGUCCAGCACUGUUCUCCUUCUAGCACCCAGCCUGCUUACAGAGUUCACUUUGCCAUGAGAUGGGACAGUUAGUGUCCUUUCUGCAUACACUUUGGAACUCUGUUGUCAGCUUACUGAGGGACAGACCCAAGCUCCUGACCAGCACAGCUGCUUUACUGCAGGGAAUAGCCACAGUUGGGGCACUUCUGCAGUCCGUUCCAGGAACUGUCCAUCUUUGCUACAGAUGCAUGCUGGUCAAGCUUCAGUGUGUCAUGCUGCUCUUUAGAACGACUUCCAGAGCAGAACUGAUGUUCGGAGGACUACAGUCACGGUCUGCUGCUGCUGCAGAUCUUAAUCUCACUAUUCCUCGUUCACCUUUGGAUGCCUGUCUCAGCCUACAGUAUCUUCAAUUAUUGCGAGUCUGCUAUUUUACUUGGCAGCUCCAUUUGUUUACAGUGAGUCAAAUUCCCUCCCUAACAUUUAACUGAAGUAUUUGCUACAAUAACUUUAUUUUGUGACCUUGUUCUGCCUGCAGCAACUGGUUGCUGUAGCCAUAAUUUG
ensembl:lncRNA